UCCACCCCCUAGGGGCGGGACCGUUGGGCACUCUAUCUGGUAUAUUCAGAGGUCAACUUCAGGCAGGGCAGUCUCCAUAGACUCUAGGGUGCCUCGGAAAAUCUCCAGAGUCUAAAGGCCCAAAUUCUUUACUUCGGACUGCUGUGAUCCUGAACUUCUAUGGCUUCCUCUGCUUUCACCACACCUCCUGCGGUCAAGGAUCCCGCCCGCUCCCAGGUUUCAGUCCUGGUACUGUGAAAGUCACCAUUACCAAAAGGAGUUACCCAUAUCAAACCCUGCUUAGGUGGGCAUCCUCUCUUCGUCUUUAGAAGUCACACUGCAGAGCCCGUUGCACAAGCCUACGGCACAUGCUGUCCUGGCUGCCAUCACUGUCAAGGCAGGUUGGCGCGGCAGCGGCGGUGUGCCCCAGCAGGAGGAGGAGGAGAGGCCACCCGUGCUGCAGGCCUCUCACUGGCGGCACUUCACACAGGCAGCUGAGGGGGCAGCAGUCUUCACUCUAGGGGUCAGCAGCAAAGGUGAAUCAGGACACAGAACAGAACCACCCAGAUGACACACCGAGGAGCAAAAUGGACAAAUGCCAGGCUCAAGACCAUACAG